CAUGCAGUCGAGCGGGAGGUAGCUUGCUACUGGACCUAGCGGCGGACGGGUGAGUAAUACUUAGGAAUCUGCCUAUUAGUGGGGGACAACGUUUCGAAAGGGACGCUAAUACCGCAUACGCCCUACGGGGGAAGCAGGGGAUCUUCGGACCUUGCGCUAAUAGAUGAGCCUAAGCCGGAUUAGCUAGUUGGUGGGGUAAAGGCCUACCAAGGCGACGAUCUGUAGCGGACUGAGAGGAGAUCCGCCACACUGGGACUGAGACACGGCCCAGACUCCUACGGAGGCAGCAGUGGGGAAUAUUGGACAAUGGGGGAACCUGAUCCAGCCAUGCCGCGUGUGUGAGAGGCUUUGUGUAAGCACUUAGGAGGAGAGCUCUCUGUAUACCUAGAUGAGUGACGUACUCGCAGAUAAGCACGCUACUCUGUGCAGCAGCGCGUAUACGGAGGUGCGAGCGUAUCGGA
rnacentral:rRNA from 1 species